rnacentral:rRNA from 1 species
AAGUGAGAAUGCCGGUGUGAGUAGCGAAAGACGGGUGAGAAUCCCGUCCACCGAUUGACUAAGGUUUCCAGAGGAAGGCUCGUCCGCUCUGGGUUAGUCGGGUCCUAAGCUGAGGCCGACAGGCGUAGGCGAUGGAUAACAGGUUGAUAUUCCUGUACCACCUAUAAUCGUUUUAAUCGAUGGGGGGACGCAGUAGGAUAGGCGAAGCGUGCGAUUGGAUUGCACGUCUAAGCAGUAAGGCUGAGUAUUAGGCAAAUCCGGUACUCGUUAAGGCUGAGCUGUGAUGGGGAGAAGACAUUGUGUCUUCGAGUCGUUGAUUUCACACUGCCGAGAAAAGCCUCUAGAUAGAAAAUAGGUGCCCGUACCGCAAACCGACACAGGUAGUCAAGAUGAGAAUUCUAAGGUGAGCGAGCGAACUCUCGUUAAGGAACUCGGCAAAAUGACCCCGUAACUUCGGGAGAAGGGGUGCUCUUUAGGGUUAACGCCCAGAAGAGCCGCAGUGAAUAGGCCCAAGCGACUGUUUAUCAAAAACACAGGUCUCUGCUAAACCGUAAGGUGAUGUAUAGGGGCUGACGCCUGCCCGGUGCUGGAAGGUUAAGAGGAGUGGUUAGCUUCUGCGAAGCUACGAAUCGAAGCCCCAGUAAACGGCGGCCGUAACUAUAACGGUCCUAAGGUAGCGAAAUUCCUUGUCGGGUAAGUUCCGACCCGCACGAAAGGCGUAACGAUUUGGGCACUGUCUCAACGAGAGACUCGGUGAAAUCAUAGUACCUGUGAAGAUGCAGGUUACCCGCGACAGGACGGAAAGACCCCGUGGAGCUUUACUGUAGCCUGAUAUUGAAAUUCGGCACAGCUUGUACAGGAUAGGUAGGAGCCUUUGAAACGUGAGCGCUAGCUUACGUGGAGGCGCUGGUGGGAUACUACCCUAGCUGUGUUGGCUUUCUAACCCGCACCACUUAUCGUGGUGGGAGACAGUGUCAGGCGGGCAGUUUGACUGGGGCGGUCGCCUCCUAAAAGGUAACGGAGGCGCUCAAAGGUUCCCUCAGAAUGGUUGGAAAUCAUUCAUAGAGUGUAAAGGCAUAAGGGAGCUUGACUGCGAGACCUACAAGUCGAGCAGGGUCGAAAGACGGACUUAGUGAUCCGGUGGUUCCGCAUGGAAGGGCCAUCGCUCAACGGAUAAAAGCUACCCCGGGGAUAACAGGCUUAUCUCCCCCAAGAGUUCACAUCGACGGGGAGGUUUGGCACCUCGAUGUCGGCUCAUCGCAUCCUGGGGCUGUAGUCGGUCCCAAGGGUUGGGCUGUUCGCCCAUUAAAGCGGUACGCGAGCUGGGUUCAGAACGUCGUGAGACAGUUCGGUCCCUAUCCGUCGUGGGCGUAGGAAAUUUGAGAGGAGCUGUCCUUAGUACGAGAGGACCGGGAUGGACAUACCUCUGGUGUACCAGUUGUCGUGCCAACGGCAUAGCUGGGUAGCUAUGUGUGGACGGGAUAAGUGCUGAAAGCAUCUAAGCAUGAAGCCCCCCUCAAGAUGAGAUUUCCCAACUUCGGUUA